AACUGAUACUACCUGCGGGACCUGCGGAAGGAUCAUUAUUGAAUUAUGUUUCUAAAUGGGUUGUAGCUGGCUCGUCAGAGCAUGUGCACGCCUGUUUGGACUUCAUUUUCAUCCACCUGUGCACCUAUUGUAGUCUUUGGUUGGGUAUCGAGGAAGUGGUCAGCCUAUCAGCACUUGCUGGAUGUGAGGACUUGCAGUGUGAAAGCUUUGCUGUCCUUUACUUGAUCAUGGAGCUGUUUU
rnacentral:misc_RNA from 1 species